GAGUUUGAUCGUGGCUCAGGAUGAACGCCGGCGGUGUGCCUAAUACAUGCAAGUCGAGCGCACUGGCCCAACUGAUAUGACGUGCUUGCACUGAAUUGACGUUGGAUUACCAGUGAGCGGCGGACGGGUGAGUAACACGUGGGCAACCUGCCCUGGAGCGGGGGAUAACAUCUGGAAACAGGUGCUAAUACCGCAUAACAAACGAAAACCACAUGGUUUUCGUUACAAAGUAUGGUUUCGCUAUCACUUCAGGAU
rnacentral:rRNA from 1 species